GCGGCGUGCCUAACACAUGCAAGUCGAACGGGAAUCUUCGGAUUCUAGUGGCGGACGGGUGAGUAACGCGUAAGAAUCUAACUUCAGGACGGGGACAACAGUUGGAAACGACUGCUAAUACCCGAUGUGCCGAAAGGUGAAACCUAAUUGGCCUGAAGAAGAGCUUGCGUCUGAUUAGCUAGUUGGUGGGGUAAGAGCCUACCAAGGCGACGAUCAGUAGCUGGUCUGAGAGGAUGAGCAGCCACACUGGGACUGAGACACGGCCCAGACUCCUACGGGAGGCAGCAGUGGGGAAUUUUCCGCAAUGGGCGAAAGCCUGACGGAGCAACGCCGCGUGAGGGAGGAAGGUCUUUGGAUUGUAAACCUCUUUUCUCAAGGAAGAAGUUCUGACGGUACUUGAGGAAUCAGCCUCGGCUAACUCCGUGCCAGCAGCCGCGGUAAUACGGGGGAGGCAAGCGUUAUCCGGAAUUAUUGGGCGUAAAGCGUCCGCAGGUGGUCAGCCAAGUCUGCCGUCAAAUCAGGUUGCUUAACGACCUAAAGGCGGUGGAAACUGGCAGACUAGAGAGCAGUAGGGGUAGCAGGAAUUCCCAGUGUAGCGGUGAAAUGCGUAGAGAUUGGGAAGAACAUCGGUGGCGAAAGCGUGCUACUGGGCUGUAUCUGACACUCAGGGACGAAAGCUAGGGGAGCGAAAGGGAUUAGAUACCCCUGUAGUCCUAGCCGUAAACGAUGGAUACUAGGCGUGGCUUGUAUCGACCCGAGCCGUGCCGAAGCUAACGCGUUAAGUAUCCCGCCUGGG
rnacentral:rRNA from 1 species